rnacentral:tRNA from 1 species
CGGGACGUGGCGCAGCCUGGAAGCGCACCUGAAUGGGGUUCAGGGGGCCGUGAGUUCAAAUCUCACCGUCCCGACCA